rnacentral:lncRNA from 1 species
AAAUAAUUUUAGAGAAAAUAUGUGAAAAUUUGAGUUUUGUAGGUAUUUUUGAAAGAAAAAUCGAAAAUCGAAGGUCAAAUUGUAAUUUAAGAAAGUUCUGCCACGUGGAACGCCAGGUCAGCAGCUCUAACGAACCAGGAUGUGUUGCGUGGCAACAGACGCUGACGCAGUGCCAUGCGGAGGGGGCCACGUGAGCAAUCCGCGCGUCUGUGAUCGAAUGACUUAGAUCCAUUCCCGCGCGCACGAACGGCCUAGAUGCAUUCACUCCCUAAACGUGAUUGGACGGUCAGAUUUGAAUCACGAUGAACAUUCCAAAUUAAAUCACAAUGAAUGGCCCUGAUCGCGAUGGACGACCCAAAUUGAAUCGUGAUGAACGAUCAAGAUCCACUCCUUAUUUAAUCGUGAUCGAACGGUUCAGAUUAAAUGCAAUGGAUAGCCAAGAUCAAAAGCGGACGGAUAUAAAUAACUCUCAUCUACAUCAAACCCUAACCCUAACCGCUAGACCCCCUCUGUAACACCCCAAUUAUAAUUAU